rnacentral:lncRNA from 10 species
AGAACCUAGGAGCUACCAGGCCAGGGAGAAGCUGCUUCUUUUCUUUCUUUUUUCUACUUUUUCUUUUUUUUUCCCUUAACUACAGCCUAAACACACCUUUUAGAAAUUAGUUUAAAAGAGAGCUAGUUAUAGAAGUGAUUUUAAAUUUUUGUAAAAAGUGGCUGAAAGGCUGAACACUUUGAAGCUUCAAGAAAGUGGGGGGGAUGUGGGCAGAUGGGAUUUUGCCGGGUGAUAAAGAAGACGGAUGCCCGGCCCCGGGACCAGGAUGGUCAGUCCCAGAUCCAGCCAGAGGGAGGGAGGGUCCGGCAGGGGCCUGGGAGG